AUUGCCUCAGUAGCGGCGAGUGAAGCGGCAAAAGCUCCAUUUUGAAAGCUCUUCGGAGCGUUGUAGAUUGGUGGGAAGCUAACGGCUGGUGGGAGACCAAGUCCUCUGGAACGAGGCGCCAUAGAGGGUGAGAGCCCCGUGUGUCUCCUUUACCGACCUUUCAGCCCCCUCCGCGGAGUCGAGUUGUUUGGGAAUGCAGCUCUAAGUGGGUGGUAAAUUCCAUCUAAGGCUAAAUAUUGGCGAGAGACCGAUAGCGAACAAGUACAGUGAUGGAAAGAUGAAAAGCACUUUGAAAAGAGAGUGAAACAGUACGUGAAAUUGUUGAAAGGGAAGGGUAUUUGGCCCGACAUGGGUCCUAUGCACCGUUGCCUCUCGUGGGCGGCGCUCUGCUUGGGCCUGGGCCAGCGUCAGUUUGGAGGGGGCGAGAAGGGUUUUGGGGAGUUGCCUAGCAAUUCCCCUUUGCUAGAUUGCCCCACACCGGACUGAGGACCGCCAUCUGUAGGAUGCUGGCACAACGGCCAAAUACCGCCCGUCUUGAAACACGGA
rnacentral:rRNA from 1 species